AACGAACGCUGGCGGCAUGCCUAACACAUGCAAGUCGAACGAGACCUCCGGGUUUAGUGGCGCACGGGUGCGUAACGCGUGGGAAACUGCCCUUAGGUUCGGAAUAACUCCCCGAAAGGGGUGCUAAUACCGGAUAAUGUCUCCGGACCAAAGAUUUAUCGCCUUUGGAUGGGCCCGCGUUGGAUUAGCUAGUUGGUAGGGUAAAAGCCUACCAAGGCGACGAUCCAUAGCUGGUCUGAGAGGAUGAUUAGCCACACUGGGACUGAGACACGGCCCAGACUCCUACGGGAGGGAGCAGUGGGGAAUAUUGGACAAUGGGCGAAGGCCUGAUCCAGCAAUGCCGCGUGAGUGAUGAAUGCCUUAGUGUUGUAAAGCUCUUUUACCCGGGAUGAUAAUGACGGUACCGGAAGAAUAAGCGCCGGCUAACUCCGUG
rnacentral:rRNA from 1 species